GGUCCCUUUUUUCUUCAUAUGUUUUACUUAUUUAGUCGUUUUCUUUUUUGUUCUCGAUCGUCGAAUUAUUUGUGGAUCGUGAGAUGGGCUUAUGCUGGGGCAUCGAUGAUGAUAAAUCUAAAGGCUUGUUUCUCAAAAACAUUCGCAGUGGCCGCCUGAGGGCUUUCGCCUAGCGGGCUUGAGAGCCUUUGCUGUUAAAUCCUUCCUUGGAUGGCUGAGAUCGCCUCAAGUUGAAAUUCCUUUCUCGCGAAUUCGUUGUGUAGUUCUACAUUUUUUUUCUACGUUUGGUUGAAUCUUUAUUUUUUGAUCUUUUUUAUGUGGCGUCUUUUCCACUUGUUUUGAUCUUUUUGCGCUCUUUUUUUGGGUAAUAUUAAUCUAGUUGCUGAUGAUGAUAAAUCCAAAGGCUUGUUUCUCAAAAUUCGCAGUGGCCGCCUGAAAGCUUUCGCCUCGCCAGGCUUGAGAGCUUAUGUUGCUCAACUUUUCCUUCCUUGGAUGUCUGAAGCUAAAAUUUCUGUAAUUAAGUCUUUUACCAUAGAUUUCGGAAUCUGUUGCAUACAAGGAUAGUUACUUUGGUAUUAGAAACUUCAAAUCAUUGGUCUUUUGGUUUGUAAGACCGAUGAUGAAAUUGAAUUUUUGAAAACAUGAUGCAUAUUUUUUUUUUUAAAUUUCUCGGUCGUUAACAGCAGCAAGUCAAAGUCUUGUUUCUCAUAAGAGCUCUUUGCCUUCCAGGCUUGAGAGCUCCUAAACUUUUUCUUCUGUGGAUGUUUACUGAGUCUAUUUGAAGGUUAUUUUUACUUGUUUUUUAAGUUUUAAUGUCAAAAUUGAUAACACUUUGAUGUUACCUGGAAAAUGGUGAUUUUAAUAAACCCGAAUUUGUAUGUAUUCCAUCGUGCUUGGGUUUUUGAUUUUGUUUCAAAAAUUUGUGUUGGAUGUCUUUGUAGUUUUUUUUUUAAUAUUUGUCAUAUUUUCAUUAUCCUUCGUCCAUUCUCUAAAUAUUUUGCUACCUUCAAUUAUUAUUAUUAUGAACACGAUAUUAGCAAUUUGGCUGUUUUUUGUUUUGGGUGGCUAAAAUGAGUCUUCAAAUGGAAUGCCAAUGAUGACAAACCCAAAGGCUUGUUUCUCAAAACAUUCGCAGUGGCCGCCUGAGAGCUUUCGCCUUGCCUGGCUUGAGAGCUUGUGCUGCUUGAAUUUUUCCUUCCUUGGAUGUCUGAGGCUGCAUCAUGAGAAGACUCAUAUCUUAUUCUGGUUUGACAGGAUUGUUGCUUUCAUCAGACAUGUAGUAGUCGCCUAGUGCGUUGGCCUAUGGUAAGCUUUGGAGUUUGUGCUUCUGAAACAUUCUGUUGUUGUUGCUCAGCUGAUCUUGAAGCUUGUAAAUGAUAUUAUUUCGUUCUGUUUGAUUAUUUUUAUUUGAAAUGCUGUUUUCUUCUAUUUCCAAUCUCCUGUAUAAAAUGAGAACUGUGAUGAUGAGAGUUUUUGGAACUUUUUAUAUGUUGUGGUUCCGUAGUAGGAUGCUGAUGAUGACAAAUCCUAAGGCUUGUUUCUCAAAACAUUCGCAGUGGCCGCCUGAGAGCUUUCGCCUUGCCAGGCUUGAGAGCUUGUGCUGCUCAAAUUUCCUUCCUUGGAUGUCUGAGGCUAUUGGCAAACUACAAAUUCUAUGUUAUUUGGUCUUCUUUGCUGUUGUUUCGCAUUGUUUUUUUUUUCUUGUUGAAGUUUUAUUUGUUUAUGUGGACAAUCUUCUUUUCUAUAUUUGAUUUGAGCGUUGGCCGCUGGACUAUUGAAUUGGAAAAUUUGAUAUUUACUGUGCUUUGUUGACCAAACUUUGCAUGAUAUUUGUAUUUUUCUAAUCAAUUUUAUAGAUCAACGUCUUUUGUAAUUAUGCUCUUGUUUUGAGUUCUGUGAUUUUUUUUUUGCGAUCUUGUUUUCCAAUGUCCUGUUAUUUGUGUUUAUUUAGUUCAAUUCUUCGAAUGUUACCGUUGGUGGUAUCCCAACAGCUUUGGUAGAAGCUGGCAACUUCGGGACUACACGUCUGCCCCUCUGGCUCUCAUUUUAGCCUUAGGGAUGAACUAGUCCCCUACAUUUGUCCUCCUUUGUGCUUCACUAAGUCAGCCAGAUCUCUUUCUCUCCUGUUUUUCCUGACAUUUUUUGGGGGAUAUAUGAUAAUUUCUAGUACUUUGAAUUGGUAUUUGCAUCGAGGUUCAUGCUUUUUUAUAUUUUGUCAUGUAGAGUUCUGCAUGGCGACGUUUAUACAGCGUCUUUCUUACUGUUGAUCAAUGGGGCUGUUUGUUGCCAUCUGAAUCCCGUAUCUUCAUUCUCAUUGACAGUUUGUGGAAAACAAUUCAUGCUUCUUUUCUUUGUACGAAUCUUGUAAAUAUCGAUGUCUACAUGAGCUUCUAAUGGGUUUCUCAAGAGAUUUAACUCUAAUGUUCGCAUUAACUAGUGAUCUAGUAUGAAUUGUAUAGGUUAUACUUUUGUCAAGAUUUCCUUUUUUUGUAUUCUUUGUGAGCUUUUUUUCGAAAUUUGGAGCUGCGGGAUCCCCGUUUCUCGUUAGGCAUUUUCCUGUUGUGUAUCAGGGUUUUGGUUUGGCCAUGGCAUCAGUUUAUUGACAAUUCAAAAUGUUUGGCUGGUGGUUAUGAGUGGUGACUGAGUUGUUCUUUCUUUGGCGAAAAUUCAUUCCUUACUAUUCGCGAAGACUGCCAUGUUGUUCUUCUCCGGUGUCGAGCAAGGUGACCAAGAGCAUGCAUCUCUGUGGCAGGAUGGUCCUGUUUCUGGUUUCAACUUUUCUGCUUGCGAUACUGGUGGUUCGACGUUUAUGUGCUUCUGUGAUGUCACUUCUGUGGCCCGUUUACGUGAAUGAUCGGAGUGUAUAAUGGCAUUGUUGGUUUAUUGUCUAAUGUUAUAGUUAGCGUUUGAGGCGUAUUUCUGGAUAAUGUUAGUUUGAGUACAUCCAUGUAAAAGAGAAGAUAUGGUAAUACGGGAAAGUGUCUCAAGGCUAUUUCAUGAACAACCGGAAUGCUGAGCCACAUUGUAGGCUAUCUAGCCCGCUUCAGCUGGCGGAGGCCGACCCCACCUUGACCAGUGCAGGGCUCGGUACUGAGCCCGAGUCCAAGCUAGACUUUUAUAGAACGAGCCGAGCCGAGCCUGCUGUGGCUCGGGCUCGGUUUGGCUCGUUGACAGCCCUAACUAUAACUGCUUUUGUUUCAUUCGGCUAGAAACUCGGCUCGAAUUUCCGCCUUUACUGGGCUGUGCCGGCUUGUUUACCCGUUUCGAUCCAGAACCGGGCUGACUCGGCUCGUCACCAGUGGAUGCGACUCAUUUAAUGGCGUCCUUUUGCUCGAGAGCUUUGCUGUGUCACCUUGUAUGGCUUUUGCGCCUAUCUGAAUCACGUCUCUUUUCUCGGCUUAAUUUCUCCCUUCAAAAUCUUAGGUGGUGGGAUUUUUUCCGUGGCCAACUAAGGUCCAAAACCUGCCACUUUCGCACGGUAGGAUGCUCCUCCACGUUGGGGGGUUUCCUUACAGUCUUCCAUCUCCAUCUGGGCUGUAUGAGCUCUACUUGGUUCGCCACCUUCUGCCGCUUGCGAGGGAAGAAGGAAACAUCAUUCUGCAGGAUGUUUUCGAAAAAGGAUUGUCGGAAGACUUUGUUUCGCCUUAAUAUGAGGAUAUCUGGCUUCAGCGGUUUUAGAGCAUUGAUCUUGACCUUUAUCUCGGCAUGCCUUCGGUUCCUCAAUUGGUUUGUGAAGCUGUUGACCGUCAGCAGGCAGUCGGCUGCUGUUGUGAUGACUCAGAUGGUCUUGUUCCCUCUAUACUCUAAUCCUUUCCUCAAUAUCUAAGGGCCAAAUAUAGCAGUCGCACCCAAGGUUCCAUGGCCAAUAGUUGGUGUGGCACCCAGGGCCUUCGGCUAGAGAGCAUCUCGUCCUCUUUCAUCUUGAAGCGGAGCACAAUGAUUCCUCAGCCAUGGGGUAGGGCUUCAUUAUGAAGCGGAGCAUGUAUAUUCAUCUGUUGAUUACUGAGAUAGCCUUUGACCCCAACAGUUGUCUUGGGCCUCCUAUAAAUUAUUUAUUAUUUUUGGAUCGAACAUGUAACCUCCUGCGAAAUAAAAUCAACAAUAAUUCAUUCAUCUACACAUAAAUCAAGCUGUAUGAACACUUUGAUGCUUAAUGAAAACUGCUCAAUCAAGAGAGAAGUCUAUCCUCCACUUCGUUCAGAAUAUAUCAGACGAUUAAGAUGUCGAUGGAGAUAUUCAGGAUGUAACUAGGGGUAACUUAAAAGCAGUAACUUCAGCUUUCAGACCAUCAAAGCACCGACAACCAUGUUAAAUGGCCCAAGAUCAACAUACCAAUGACCAUAAAAAUCACGAGCAAGAAACGAGCAGAACUAGGAUGUAUCCGUUGCUCUCUUUAA